GAUUAACGCUAGCGGCAGGCAUAAUACAUGCAAGUUGAACGGCAGCACAGGUAGCAAUACUGGGUGGCGAGUGGCGCACGGGUGCGUAACACGUAUGCAACCUACCCUAUACAGGCGAAUAACCUUUAGAAAUGAGGGCUAAUACGCCGUAGUAUUACAGAUGGGCAUCUAUUUGUAAUUAAAGAUUUAUCGGUAUAGGAUGGGCAUGCGUCCCAUUAGUUAGUUGGUAAGGUAACGGCUUACCAAGACGAUGAUGGGUAGGGGAUCUGAGAGGACUUACCCCCACACUGGUACUGAGACACGGACCAGACUCCUACGGGAGGCAGCAGUAAGGAAUAUUGGGCAAUGGCCGCGAGGCUGACCCAGCCAUGCCGGGUGCAGGAAGACGGCCUUAUGGGUUGUAAACUGCUUUUAUACGGGAAUAAUAGAGUGUACGCGUACAUUUAUGCAGGUAUCGUAUGAAUAAGCAUCGGCUAACUCCGUG
rnacentral:rRNA from 1 species